UGAACCAAAGUCGGUCACUUAACUGACUGAGCCACCCAGUCGCCCCUCAAGUAUUUUUUCCUGCACUGCAGUCUCUCCUCUCUUUGGGACUUUAAAUGACACAAUGUUAACUUAGUGUUAUUACACAGGAACCUGAAGCUUUGAGCAUUUUUUUUUUUUAAUUUUUUUUUCCUCUUUGUUGUUCAGCUUGGAUUCUAUCACUAUAUCUUCAAGUUUACUGAAUCUUUCCUUUGUCACUUUUAAUCUGUUAUUGAGCCUAUCCAGUGAGGGUUUUUGUUUGUUUUUUUGCUUCUGCUUUGUAUCUUCUAUUUCUUUGCUGAAACUUUCUACCAUUUUAUUUCAAUAGUGUUCACCCUUACUUCCUUGAGCAUUUUACAACUACUUUAAAGUCUUUCUCAGAUAAUUUUAACGUCUCUGUCAUCUCUGCAUUGUCAUGCAUUGACUGUCUUUUUCAUGUGACUGACAUCGUCUUGAUUCUUCACGUGACAAAUAAUUUAGGAUUAUAUUCAGGACACUUUAAAUUUUAAUGAGAUUUGUGUCUUGUUUAAAUCUAUGAAUAAUUUCUUUUUUUUUAAGCAUGCAACCAGUGCAGUUAGGUUUAGGCUAGAAAUUCUGACCAGUCGUUUGUAGAUUACGGUUUCAAUGUCUGCCCUGUUUUAAAAGUCUUUGCACUGCUGUUUGGAUUUGUCCAUCCUCUGUACCACCCUAUGGGAAGCCUAGUGGUCUUUUGUGCAGUUCUCAAACUCUUUGGUAUGCUGUUUAUGGUCAGAUCCCCACAUACAUGGCUUGGGUUGGGAGUAAACUCAGAAGUUUAUAAACAGUGUUAUUGGGUGCUGGGCCCUUCCCUCUCUGAAGUCUUCCUUUACUAUCUGGUUACCUGGGUCUCCUUUUUUUUGGUCCUCUGACCAGAAAGCUGGGGCUUUAGUUGCCCCCUUCUGUUAUACACUGCCCACAUCUGUGCCCUUGUUCAGGGUCAAACAGCAGAAGUAUUGACAUAGGAAAAAAAAAAAAAAAAAAAGCAGUAGGUGUUUACCCCAGCCUUUUGGACCAAGGCUUCAAAGGAAGCUUACCUCCCUCAGUUUUAGGUGCUUUCCACCACCCCCUCCUCCCCCCUGCUGUCUCCACUGCCUGUCACCACAGCCACUGUAGAUUGCCUCGGGCUAGGGAGUGAGCAAACAGAGAAAAGAAAAGAAGAGGAAAUGGGGAAUUUGUCAUCUGCCCCCCUCCCCGCAUGGAUCUUUAGUACCUUAUCAUUGCUUUGAGUCCAGCCUGGAAAUAAUUGCGUGAUAAAUGGAGAUUUCACUGGUUCCAUAGUAUUUUGAGUUCUAGUCUUUAUCUACAACUUUUUCUGCUAUUUCUUUUUCAGAGUCUUCAAAUAGUCAUUCCAUGCAUCUGUCAAUAUCUCAGAUUUGCCUUCAUUGGGAGAGAGGGGGUGAUGGGAGCUUAUUCCACCUGACUUGCAACCAGAAAUCCUCUGGGCCUGUGUUCUUUUCAUUAACAUGUGGGGCCCCUGUGUGGACCAAGAGUUUUCCUCAAAGGACUUUAUGGUAUUCUUAACUUUUGCUUGUAGUUUGCAUUGUAAUGACACUAAUAAGAACUUACUGAAAUUGAUUAUAGUGGUAGUUUAGAAGGUUAACAAUUUAUUAAUUCUUUUUUAUUCACCAAAACUGGAUAAAAUUCCAAAAUGUUUUCAUAUUAUGACUGAAAUGUUUAUCUUAUAUGGAAGUAAUAAUACUGAAGAAGAAACAAACAGAGGUAGUAAGAAAAUGUUGAAGUCUUCAAAAAUUACAUGCUUCCUUCCAAACAACUUAUUCAUGUGCCAGUAAACUUAUUGCAUUGUUUGAAGGCUGUGGGGAGCCAAGUCCUGUGGUUUUUCACUUUCUCUCAGCAGGUGAGGUCAACUAUGUCACUUCUGCUUUAUUUACUGUGACCUUUGUGUGGUGCAACAAGUGUAGGGGCACAGUACCAGGGAAGCAAUGCCCUUGACCCUGUGAGACCAGAUCUCUCCAGAGAGGCCACAGGCAGGGAUGUCCCACCUACUUUCUCCUCAGGCUGGCUCUGGAAGCUCCAGAGAACAACCCGAGUGUAAUGGAGGCCCCACUGCCACGUUCCGGCCGAGGCCCGGUUCUCAAGGAACUCACAGUCUACUGUGUCUUAUUUGUACUUCUGUCCUCGGCGCCUGGCACAGUGUCUGGCAUCUAGACGAGGCUCAACCGUGUAUAACUAGUUUGUUAUUGUUGCCAUUCUUGCUCCUUCAGUCUCCUGGGUAAGUUGAGUACCAGACACAGAAUGCCUGUGAGUCUUCGAAACCAAGUUUUUUUUGGAAAUUAUAGAUAAAAUUUAUUCAAUUUAA